ensembl:lncRNA
GGAGGUCGACCACCCAUAAUUCAACUGGACAGGACGUGAUGAGUUUUGUGCUUUUAGAGUGUAGACCUCUAGAGGAUACUCUGACGUGACAUUGUCAUUUCCCAACCUCUCUCUCUUUUUUUUUUUUUGGAGACAAAGUCUUGCUAUGUAGCUCCGGCUGGCCUUGAACUCAUGGUGAUCCUCCUGCUUCAGCCUCCCGAGUGCUGGGACUACAGGUGUGCACCACAACACCCAGCCCUAGCUUCUCUUAUCUUCUACUUCUAACAUACCCAGAGGAAGAAAGAAGAUGCAGUGGUCAAGUGACUUGUCCAAGAUCACCCAGCUGGUCAGCAGAAUCCCUACAUCAUGAAUUAAGACCUUGGAGCCUAACCCCACAUCGCUGAAGUUUUACUCCAUGUUUCUGAGAACCUUAGAGUUUUGAAGACGUGCUCCAGUGGUUCUGCAAAUGUUUAUCUGACUUAUUUUUUUUUAAAGUUAGCAAUUCUUGUUUUGUUUUUUGAGACAGGGUCUCACUAUGUAGCUCAGGCUGACCUUGAACUCACUGUGCAGCCCAGGUUGGCCUUGAACUCAAAGGUGAUCCUCCUGCCUCAGUCUCUGGAAUGUUGGAAUUAUAGGCAUGC